rnacentral:rRNA from 1 species
GAUGAACGCUAGCGGCAGGCUUAACACAUGCAAGUCGAGGGGUAUUGGUUUUCGGACCAAGAGACCGGCGCACGGGUGCGUAACGCGUAUGCAAUCUACCUUUUGCAGAGGGAUAGCCCCAGAGAAAUUUGGAUUAAUACCUCAUAGUAUAGUACUUUGGCAUCAAGGAACUAUUAAAGUCACAACGGCAAAAGAUGAGCAUGCGUCCCAUUAGCUAGUUGGUAAGGUAACGGCUUACCAAGGCUACGAUGGGUAGGGGUCCUGAGAGGGAGAUCCCCCANACUGGUACUGAGACACGGACCAGACUCCUACGGGAGGCAGCAGUGAGGAAUAUUGGACAAUGGGCGCAAGCCUGAUCCAGCCAUGCCGCGUGCAGGAUGACGGUCCUAUGGAUUGUAAACUGC